UUGACAUCAUGAGGAUAACAUUGCUAGCUUUGAGCAGCAUAGUCUCCCAUCAUGUUGCCAGGGGCAGUACGUCACUUGGUCCCUCUGUGGCUCUGCUUUGACUACUGGCUGGUUACAGUGUGAGGCAGGGCCAGGGAGAUGGCUGCUGGGACAGGUCUUGAGGAGAGCCUACACCUCCACAAGAGCAAGGCAGGCUGCAGCAGGUGACAGUGCCCCUGUGUUUUCCAGAGCACGAGUGUACGGGGACAAGCUGGCCAUGGUGGACGACAGUGGGAGCCACAGCUACAGGGUGUUGUAUGGCAGUAGUAGGGGCCUGGCUGGGCGUAUCAAGGCAGUUCUGGGCUGUCCCUCUGGGGACCUGCAGUGAAAGCGCAUCUCCUUCCUGUGUGCCAACGAUGCCUUGUACACGGUAGCCCAGUGGGCGUCCAUCUGCCCCCACCUACAGCCUCAGCUGUCUUCUGGAAGCCCCAGAGACCCAGCCUGAGCCUGGCAUCACAGACUGGGCCCAGCGUCCUGCCAUGAUCAUUUACACCAGGGGCACCACAGGCAGGCCCAAAGGGGUUCUCCAUAUUCACAGCAACAUCCAGGUUCAGGUUCUAGUGUCAGAGUGUGGCUGGUCCAGAGAUGAUGUCAUCCUUCACACCUUUCCCCUGCACCACAUCGUCAACAAGCUGCUCUGACCUCUCUGGGUGGGUGCCACCACCGUCAUGCUGCCUACCUUCCAGCCUCAGAAGGUAUGGGAGGUCCUGCUCAGCUCCAAGGCUCUUAUGGUGAAUGUGUUCAUGGCUGUUCCAACCAUCUACUCCGAGCUGAUCCGGCACUAUGAGCAGCACUUCUCCCAGCCACACGACCAGGACUUUGUCAGGGCUGCCUGCAAGGAGAGAAUCAGGCAGCACGAACCGUAUAGUCUACUUAUACUAGUGUCAAUACCUCAGGAAAUGAGUAGAUCUCCAUCAUUAGCAGUAUCAUAAUAUUCAUAUAACUGGAUAAAUAUCUUUAACAAGCUCAUUGCUUAUCUAUUGUGAUGAAAUUACUUUCUUAAAAUCUCUGACAAGACAUCUUCAGAGCGAAUGGGUUCUCAUGAAUCUGGACAGUGGUUUCUCAUUCCAUCAGAGAGUGAAGCGAUAGUUUGAAGGGGAAGGGAUAUGUGUCAGAGAUCAAAGGGAUGGGUUUUAAAGAGAGACGGGGCUUUGUAGUGAGAUGUGACAGAUGCUUUCUGCAAAUGUACCAGGGCUUAUGCUCAAGAGAGAGUGAAGAAAGCAUUGGGACGUGACAGAUGGAAUAGAGUUAUAAACUCUAUGUAAAGCCUAGCACUUAUGUUACCCCAACUUAAAGUUGCAAAGCUACCGGUAAUUUACCAAAGUGACCUGAAUCUUCGGUAAUUUUGGGUAAUUAACAGGAAAUGUAUGGUAACUUUGAUAAUUUAUAACUGAUUAAUAAAAAAAACUGUUAAUAUAAAGUAUAAACUUUUUAUGUUUCUGGUGGAUAGACCAUAUGGUUCAAGAGAAAAUUACCUAAUUAAUGGAAAAAGCAUCUAAUCAACAAUGGCAUUGUUUUCAAUUAACUCUGCGACUCUUCAAACUAUUGACUUUUUUCACCAUUGCUACCAAUUUGGCGGCAAAACAUUUACAACAAAGUCAUAUUGGUGUGUGACCGUGGCAAAGUAGGUUUGACAUUGGAUAGCCCAUCUUUGAGGUUAGUUAGCGACCUUCAAAUAAAUGACACAAUGUAAAUAGGACAAUAUUAUAAUGUUGCACAUUAAAUGCUUUCAAUAUUGUAAAUUAAUUUCUACAAUUUAUAGUUGGUUUGAGGUUUUUAAGUAAUUGAAAUUUGGAGCUUUUGUCAUUUUAAAAUCUUGUCCCAUGUACAUUGUGUAAUUUACUGAUGGUCCUUCAGUAGCCCCAUAGGGAUAUUGAACGUCAAACCAAAUUGGCCAUGGGUGUUAUGAUUGGGUCGCGUGCAGCUGCUCUCUGAAUUGAUGAUUACUUGGGUGCUGCCAGCUGUGGGCAUGUGGGCAUGAUUAAAAUAAAUCCAACCCAUGGAAAACCCUUACGGUACCCUUCAUUCUGUAACAUACCAUUUUAUCCUAUCAUCUCGCAAAUCUUCGUUUUCGAUGAGACUGACUUUAUGACCAAAAUUAUACUAUUUACACUUUGUAGUACAUUUUGACACUAGAAUAAUGUUUUAAAACUCAUAUCGAUGCCACAUAGGCUGUUUUCAAAGCGAGAAGUUGCUUUUCAGGGGCAGUCGCUCUUCAAACACCAAUGGUAUUCACUAAGUUGAUGGUUUAUAUUUAGGCCACAGGCCGAUACAUUUUUUUCUUGAGCGGUUGGUUGGGGGCCGGAACAUAAUUACAAAUGAUUUGUAGACUGCAAAUUGACCGCAAGAAACCCUAACAGAUAUCAUAUUUGACUAAAACAUAAUAAUUUUAAACCUUUGGGGGGGGGGGAAUAA